rnacentral:rRNA from 1 species
GAUGAACGCUAGCGGCAGGCCUAACACAUGCAAGUCGAGGGGUAGAGGAAGCUUGCUUCCUUGAGACCGGCGCACGGGUGCGUAACGCGUAUGCAAUCUACCUUAUACAGAGGGAUAGCCCAGAGAAAUUUGGAUUAAUACCUCAUAGUAUUAUGAAAUCGCAUGGUUUUAUAAUUAAAGUUCCAACGGUAUAAGAUGAGCAUGCGUCCCAUUAGUUAGUUGGUAAGGUAACGGCUUACCAGGACAAUGAUGGGUAGGGGUCCUGAGAGGGAGAUCCCCCACACUGGAACUGAGACACGGACCAGACUCCUACGGGAGGCAGCAGUGAGGAAUAUUGGUCAAUGGACGCAAGUCUGAACCAGCCAUGCCGCGUGCAGGAUGACGGUCCUAUGGAUUGUAAACUGCUUUUAUACAGGAAGAAACACUCCCUCGUGAGGGAACUUGACGGUACUGUAGGAAUAAGGAUCGGCUAACUCCGUGCCAGCCGCCGCGGUAAAAC